CUAGUCAGAAAGAUUGAUCUAAAAAUAAUGAAAGAUCAAGGGAAUAGAAAGUUGAAUAAAUAAAUUAAUUAAAUUUGCCUGGGGUUCCUGGUAGGUUUCUUUUCUUUUUAUUGGUUUGUUGUUGCUGCUGCUUGUUUUCUUGAUGAACUUCUUCUUCUCCAGUGUUUCCAGAAGAGAAGCUUCCAUCUUCAUUACCUGACAUAUUGUUUGACAUUUUUGGAUACAAUACA
rnacentral:lncRNA from 1 species